GACUAUAACCAUACUACCCUGAAAAAGCCCAAUCCCAUCUGAUUUCAGAAGCUAAACAGCAUCGGGCCUGGUUAGUACUUGGAUGGGAGACCACCUAGGAAGACCAGGUGGUGUAGGCA
rnacentral:rRNA from 1 species